AAUACAUGCAAGUCGAGCGAAUCUUUAAAAGCUUGCUUUUAAAGAUUAGCGGCGGACGGGUGAGUAACACGUGGGCAACCCGCCUGUAAGACUGGGAUAACUCCGGGAAACCGGGGCUAAUACCGGAUAAUUCAUUCCCUCUCAUGAGGGAAUGCUGAAAGACGGUUUCGGCUGUCACUUACAGAUGGGCCCGCGGCGCAUUAGCUAGUUGGUGAGGUAACGGCUCACCAAGGCAACGAUGCGUAGCCGACCUGAGAGGGUGAUCGGCCACACUGGGACUGAGACACGGCCCAGACUCCUACGGGAGGCAGCAGUAGGGAAUCUUCCGCAAUGGACGAAAGUCUGACGGAGCAACGCCGCGUGAGCGAUGAAGGCCUUCGGGUCGUAAAGCUCUGUUGUUAGGGAAGAACAAGUAUCGGAGUAACUGCCGGUACCUUGACGGUACCUAACCAGAAAGCCACGGCUAACUACGUGCCAGCAGCCGCGGUAAUACGUAGGUGGCAAGCGUUGUCCGGAAUUAUUGGGCGUAAAGCGCGCGCAGGUGGUUCCUUAAGUCUGAUGUGAAAGCCCACGGCUCAACCGUGGAGGGCCAUUGGAAACUGGGGAACUUGAGUGCAGAAGAGGAAAGUGGAAUUCCACGUGUAGCGGUGAAAUGCGUAGAGAUGUGGAGGAACACCAGUGGCGAAGGCGACUUUCUGGUCUGUAACUGACACUGAGGCGCGAAAGCGUGGGGAGCGAACAGGAUUAGAUACCCUGGUAGUCCACGCCGUAAACGAUGAGUGCUAAGUGUUAGAGGGUUUCCGCCCUUUAGUGCUGCAGCAAACGCAUUAAGCACUCCGCCUGGGGAGUACGGCCGCAAGGCUGAAUAUCAUAUAAAGAGCACUUGACGGAAGCGCGA
rnacentral:rRNA from 1 species